GAUGAAGAACGUAGCGAAAUGCGAUAAGUAAUGUGAAUUGCAGAAUUCAGUGAGUCAUCGAAUCUUUGAACGCACAUUGCGCCCGCCAGUAUUCUGGCGGGCAUGCCUGUUCGAGCGUCAUUUCAACCCUCAAGCCCAGCUUGGUGUUGGGGAUCGGCACAGGCGCCCUCGGGCGCCCGCCGUCCCCUAAAUCUAGUGGCGGUCCCGCUGCAGCCUCCUCUGCGUAGUAGUUUUCUCCUCGCAAGGGCAGCUCGGUGGCGACCUCGCCGUAAAACCCCCAACUUCUGAAAGGUUGACCUCGAAUCAGGUAGGAAUACCCGCUGAACUUAAGCAUAUCAAUAAGCGGAGGA
rnacentral:misc_RNA from 1 species